AUUGAACGCUGGCGGAAUGCUUUACACAUGCAAGUCGAACGGCAGCACGGGGGUAACCCUGGAGGCGAGUGGCGAACGGGUGAGUAAUACAUCGGAACGUGCCCAAUCGUGGGGGAUAACGUAGCGAAAGCUACGCUAAUACCGCAUACGAUCUACGGAUGAAAGCGGGGGAUCGCAAGACCUCGCGCGAAUGGAGCGGCCGAUGGCAGAUUAGGUAGUUGGUGGGGUAAAGGCUCACCAAGCCAACGAUCUGUAGCUGGUCUGAGAGGACGACCGGCCACACUGGGACUGAGACACGGUCCAGACUCCUACGGGAGGCAGCAGUGGGGAAUUUUGGACAAUGGGCGCAAGCCUGAUCCAGCCAUUCCGCGUGCAGGAUGAAGGCCUUCGGGUUGUAAACUGCUUUUGUACGGAACGAAACGGCCCUUUCUAAUACAGAGGGCUAAUGACGGUACCGUAAGAAUAAGCACCGGCUAACUACGUGCCAGCCGCCGCCGUAA
rnacentral:rRNA from 1 species